AGCCCAGACUCCUACGGGAGGCAGCAGUGGGGAAUAUUGCACAAUGGGGGAAACCCUGAUGCAGCGACGCCGCGUGAGUGAAGAAGUAUUUCGGUAUGUAAAGCUCUAUCAGCAGGGAAGAAAAUGACGGUACCUGACUAAGAAGCCCCGGCUAACUACGUGCCAGCAGCCGCGGUAAUACGUAGGGGGCAAGCGUUAUCCGGAUUUACUGGGUGUAAAGGGAGCGUAGACGGCAUGGCAAGUCAGAUGUGAAAGCCCGGGGCUCAACCCCGGGACUGCAUUUGAAACUGUCAGGCUAGAGUGCAGGAGAGGUAAGUGCAAUUCCUAGUGUAGCGGUGAAAUGCGUAGAUAUUAGGAGGAACACCAGUGGCGAAGGCGGCAUACUGGACUGUAAC
rnacentral:rRNA from 1 species